UGUUCACGUAGCAGUAUUUUUUCCUAAUACAUAUCACAACGUAGAUAUUUAAAGAAAGGUCUGUAUGUUUUCAAAAUAUCAUAUCUACCGAACAAAAGGAAGAAAGGGGCCGACAAAUGUUGUCUUGUCGUUCAGGUGUAUGCAAGAUGAUUGAAAAAAAAAAACAACAACAAAAGAGUCCGAAUGUUCUUUGUGUUUUAUAUAUAAACAUUAACGACACAAAGUGACGAUUUUUCAAGUAUGAACACCACAAAGUUUGUAGCAACAAAGGAGACAAUCAAUAAAAUACGUCUUCUUCUUGUAAUUGAUGGACCAUGUACAGAAUUAUUUCGAUACAUACUUCGACAAUAUAUUCCAGAGGUCGAUUUUCCAGAUCUUUUAAAGGAAAAAAAGAAAAAAUUAUAUAAUAAAGCAAAAAUGAGUAAAAAUCAGAAGAAAAUCCUUUACCCAGGCGGUGGACAAUUUACGGGGAGUUAUGACGAACUAGAUUUGUGUUUACUCUACACUCUUAUAAGAAAUUUAUCGGGAAUACAGCCUCAUAACAACGAAUGGGGUGAACCUCCCGACCCUUCAGAUCGAUCAAUUUCUGCCAAUAUUGAUCGAAUCAGAGAAAUCAGAAACAAGUACAAGCAUUCCUCUGAAACUACCCUUGCAGAUAAGGACUUUGAUAAAAUUUGGAAGGAACUGGAAACAAUUGUCGGCGAGCUUGAAAGAACGGUUUCUGGAUGAGGAGGCAAGGCAUUCACUGAACCUAUGACUCGUUUGAAAACAGAGAGUCUAGACCCCAACAAACCUAAUAAGUACUGCAAAAUUAUCGCAAGGCUUUGGAAUUCUAUCGAGGACAUUACAGAACAACAAGAAAUUUUAGCAAAUGAACUAAAGACAACACAACUGAGACAUGACAGUGAAACAUCAGAUUUAACAUGUAAGCAAAACAAACAGGAAGAAAGGAUUAACAUACUCGGUAA